AGACGUUGGCUCCAUAUAUAGGAUGGCGGCUUUAAUGGAGGAGGCGGCUGCUCUAACUAUAGAGGAUACGGAGGGUUCAGCAAUAGAGGAGGCGGCAACUGUAAUAUUAGUGGAGGUGACGGCUGCAACUAUGAAUUAGCUGGCAGCAUAAGAAAAGGCGAAGACGGUGGUCUAAGAAGAAAGCUAUGGCUUUGGCGGAGGAGGCGGCAUUAAUGUUAAAUGUGGCGAUUCAAAAAAGUGUGUGUUUAUAAGAAAUGUCCUCCUUUGCCUACUGAUAGAUGAGGGUAAUACAAUGGAGCAGACCUAGCUGCACUGCAAAUUAAAAAAAAACGUAUUCUAAGUAGGUCCCCUCUACUCGAUUCUCAUAAACUCAAGUAAGCCUCAUAGGCUAUAGUAGAGGAGGCGGCUUCAACUAUGCAGGAGGAGGCGGCUUCAACUAUGCAGGAGGAAGCGGCUUGAACUAUGCAGGAGGAAGCGGCUUGAACUGUGCAGGAGACGGUGAUUUCAACUAUGCAGGAGGAUGCGGCUUCAACUAUGCAGGAGGAGGCGGCUUCAACUAUGCAGGAGGAAACGGCUUGAACUAUGCAGGAGGAAGCGGCUUGAACUGUGCAGGAGACGGUGAUUUCAACUAUGCAGGAGGAUGCGGCUUCAACUAUGCAGGAGGAGGCGGCUUCAACUAUGCAGGAGGAAACGGCUUGAACUAUGCAGGAGGAAGCGGCUUGAACUGUGCAGGAGACGGUGAUUUCAACUAUGCAGGAGGAUGCGGCUUCAACUGUGCAGGAGACGGUGAUUUCAACUAUGCAGGAGGAAGCGGCUUGAACUGUGCAGGAGACGGUGAUUUCAACUAUGCAGGAGACGGUGAUUUCUAUAGAGGAGACGGGAACUUCAGCGAUGGAGGAUGCGGCGACUUUAAUAUUGAAGGAAACGGCGGCUUUAAAUAUAGAGGAUACUGCAACUUCAACAAAAGAGGAGACGCGAGCUUAAGUAUUUAAGGAGACGUUGGCUCCAUAUAUAGGAUGGCGGCUUUAAUGGAGGAGGCGGCUGCUCUAACUAUAGAGGAUACGGAGGGUUCAGCAAUAGAGGAGGCGGCAACUGUAAUAUUAGUGGAGGUGACGGCUGCAACUAUGAAUUAGCUGGCAGCAUAAGAAAAGGCGAAGACGGUGGUCUAAGAAGAAAGCUAUGGCUUUGGCGGAGGAGGCGGCAUUAAUGUUAAAUGUGGCGAUUCAAAAAAGUGUGUGUUUAUAAGAAAUGUCCUCCUUUGCCUACUGAUAGAUGAGGGUAAUACAAUGGAGCAGACCUAGCUGCACUGCAAAUUAAAAAAAAACGUAUUCUAAGUAGGUCCCCUCUACUCGAUUCUCAUAAACUCAAGUAAGCCUCAUAGGCUAUAGUAGAGGAGGCGGCUUCAACUAUGCAGGAGGAGGCGGCUUCAACUAUGCAGGAGGCGGCGACUUUAACUAUGCAGGAGGCGGCGACUUCAACUAUGCUGGAGUAGGCGGCUUCAACUAUGCAGGAGGAAGCGGCUUGAACUAUGCAGGAGGAAGCGGCUUGAGCUGUGCAGGAGACGGUGAUUUCAACUAUGCAGGAGGAUGCGGCUUCAACUAUGCAGGAGGAGGCGGCUUCAACUAUGCAGGAGGAAACGGCUUGAACUAUGCAGGAGGAAGCGGCUUGAACUGUGCAGGAGACGGUGAUUUCAACUAUGCAGGAGGAUGCGGCUUCAACUAUGCAGGAGACGGUGAUUUCUAUAGGGGAGACGGGAACUUCAGCGAUGGGGGAUGCGGCGACUAUAAUAUUGAAGGAAACGGCGGCUUUAAAUAUAGAGGAUACUGCAACUUCAACAAAAGAGGAGACGCGAGCUUAAGUAUUUAAGGAGACGUUGGCUCCAUAUAUAGGAUGGCGGCUUUAAUGGAGGAGGCGGCUGCUCUAACUAUAGAGGAUACGGAGGGUUCAGCAAUAGAGGAGGCGGCAACUGUAAUAUUAGUGGAGGUGACGGCUGCAACUAUGAAUUAGCUGGCAGCAUAAGAAAAGGCGAAGACGGUGGUCUAAGAAGAAAGCUAUGGCUUUGGCGGAGGAGGCGGCAUUAAUGUUAAAUGUGGCGAUUCAAAAAAGUGUGUGUUUAUAAGAAAUGUCGUCCUUUGCCUACUGAUAGAUGAAGGUAAUACAAUGGAGCAGGUAAGUACGUAAUUAAAAAUAUAUUUUUAUAUCUAUAUAUCUGUUUGAUGGGUUAUCAAUGCAUAUUCCAAAAGCUAAGACUAGGCUGUGGAAAAUUCCUUUUGCAAUUAAUUUAAUAUAAGCUUAUAUAUAAAUGGUAAUUUCACAGGAGAAGAUGUGGAUUUUAUGAUGCUUUAAAUUUUUUUAGAUUGCAAUAAUAUUGUUUUUAGAUUUGAUAAUAAUUGCCAGAUUUAGACGCCAAAAUGAUCUAAAGGCCAAGCCAUGAACAAAGAGCCAAACUUUAUGAAAAUAGGAUGAGAUUUGAUCAAGUUAUAGGGGUGGGAAAUUCAGACGCAUUUCUAUGAGAGAUAUUUGAGCGUGCCAUUUGACAUGAAUUUUAAUCAGAAAUAAUGUUGCCAGACAGAGGCCAAACU